rnacentral:misc_RNA from 1 species
AAAAUCUUCAAAGACCUAAUAGGAAGAAAUAUAGAAGUGUAUGUUGAUGGUAAACAUAAUGCCUGUGCUUCCUCUUAUUUGCCCUUGACAAUUGCUUGGCCCUUGACAGUUGCCACUCCUUUUUCAUUUGGGAACUUUAGCAUCAAAUAUCAUAUGUUAGUGGUGAUCUCAAAAUCAUAUAGCAUUAUUUGAUUAGGAUAGUUAUAGGGCAUCAAU